CUCACUCCCAUAUUACCACCAGGAACGGGAAUUCCCAUGCAAACGGACACCAUGCCGAAAUGGUACUGUAAGUACCUCAUACUUUGGCACACCUGGAGUGUCAUUAAAGCGCACGUAAUUAUAGCCCAGGUAUGCUGAAGUACACUACUCUCAUCACGUGCUACCAACAGCACCGUAGCGCUGAGUGAGAGCACAGAGAAGCACUUUAGCAGAAAGGAAAAGAUGAUGUCACACGUGUAA